rnacentral:lncRNA from 1 species
GCAAAUAAUAAGAAAAAAUGUGCAAAACGUUUUUUAGUACAGUUAGCAAAUAGUGUACUCAGUUGUUGAAGGAAAUGGGAUGAAGCCUAUCAGAUUUCAACAAACUUAUUUACCUCUUGAGAAAUCUGCUCUCUUUUCUGUUGUCCUUCUGUGUCUCUCUUUCAAAGAUCAAGUCUCACUGCGAUGCUGAUAUGUUUUUAACACUUCUCCAGCAUUUCUUAACCUAACAGCAGGUUUCAGGCACAGGCCUGCAGCAAGCAGCCAUAUCCAACUAAAAUUCCACUACUAUAUGUUUUUAUUUGCAUUACAUUUAUCAGGGAGCUUUCUAUUUAUGGCAAGGAAACUGAUUUUAAAUUUAAAUCAGUGCUAUACCUCAAGAGCUAGAUUUUGCAUUUUUAAGUGAAAAAGUAAGCUAUCAAAUAGAACAGGUGGAAUUUGGAUAUGGUGGGGCGGGGGGGUAGGCAGAGCAGGGGAGAGGAACAUCGUGAUAGUGGUACUCAAAUUACUAAGUUUUAGAAAACACUAUCACGGGGCCUUUCAGGAGCCUGGAGACAGAUGGAGGGGAAGACAGAAGAGAGAAUAAGGAGAAGAAUGGUUUCAUUUGGAAGGACACUGACUAAGGAAAAACAGAGAAAAGGAUGAAACCCAAGCCAACUCUGCAACUCUAUUAAAAACACCAAGACUUCAAUAUGAACCUGGCAUGGUGGGCACAGUCGGGCACUGCAGGCGGCUUGCCUCCAGCAGAAGGAAUACUGCUACUCAGCUCUAGAUGAUUGCCCUGAAGAAAUUCAUGCCCACUGAAUCUCCUUAAAGGGAGGCAGUGCAGUCUUCAUGGCUAGAGCUUCAGCAGCUAUCUAGAACCAUAUGGUGGAAGCCACUUACUGAGAACUGUGAAACAAGAGCCUGGGUCCCUGACAUAUGAAGCCACCAUACCUACCUUAAAGUGUCUUUCACUUGAGGGAAAAACACAUCUUUCUUA